rnacentral:misc_RNA from 1 species
UUAUUGCUGAUAUCAAAGGGAUUGUUUCCUUCUAAAAUACAUCAGAUAGAAAAGCGUAUCGAAGAGAUCGCUCCAGA